UCUGGGAAGAGGAAGGAGGAGAGCGUGCUGGAGUGGUGGGGAUGGGAGCAUAGGAGAAAGUACUAAGGGCAAUUCUUGAUCUCUUCCUCAAUCAAGUGUCGGAGGAGAGGUCGAGAACUUGCUCAUCUGCUUUCUCGAUGCCUCCCAUUCCUAUCGCUCUCGCGUGUUCCUUCCUCUUCCCUUUAGUU
rnacentral:pre_miRNA from 1 species